AUGUGGCUGAAUCGUUUCCAGAAAAGACGUCCAGAAAAUAGCUUCCUGUUUCUCCACAGGUCAGACAUGAAGCCCACCCUCAUCUCAGUGCUUGUGAUAAUAUUUAUACUCAGAGGAACAAGAGCCCAGAGAGUGACUCAGCCCGAGAAGCUCCUCUCUGUCUUUGAAGGGGCCCCAGUGGAGCUGAAGUGCAACUAUUCGUAUUCUGGGAGUCCUGAACUCUUCUGGUAUGUCCAGUACCCCAAACAACGCCUCCAGUUACUCUUGAGACACAUCUCUAGAGAGAGCAUCAAAGGCUUCACUGCUGACCUUAACAAAGGCGAGACAUCUUUCCAUCUGAAGAAACCAUUUGCUCAAGAGGAAGACUCAGCCAUGUAUUACUGUGCUCUAAGUGUGUGAAUUAUAACCAGGAAGGAAAGCUUAUCUUCGGACAGGGAACCGAGUUAUCUGUGAAGCCCA